rnacentral:lncRNA from 1 species
AUUCUUAGGUACCAGUGGGAAACUUUGAGGGUGUUUAUGUUAAAUUGUUUGCUUGGGUUGUAGGGGUUUAUUACCUUUUUAUUGGGAGAGAUGAUUCUUAUUUUAAUUUGCGGAUUAUUGUGGGUUUGAAAUUAAAUCCGAAAUCAAUUAUUGUAAGGGAAUUCUUCUUGUUUGAUUGUUUGUGGUGUAUACCGGAGUUAG